GACGAACGCUGGCGGCGUGCUUAACACAUGCAAGUCGAACGGAAAGGCCCCGCUGGGGGUACGCGAGUGGGGAACGGGCGAGUGACACGCGAGUGACUUGCCCUCGACUUCGGGAGAACUUCAUGCAACAGGGGCGAAUAACUGCUAGGAAUCCGUGCCGGAUGGUGGGGGGUGGUAAGCUUGGGCGGUUUUGGAUGGACUGACGGCUGUAUAGCUUGUUGGUGGGGUAGUGGCUUACCAAGGCGUUGAUGGGUAGCCGGCCCGAGGGGGCGACCGGCCACCUUGGGGCUGGGCUUCGGGCCAGACUCCUACGGGUUGCAGCAGUUGGGAAAUUUUGACCAUGGGCGGGAGCCUGAUUCAACAACGCCGGCUGCCGGAUGACCGCCUUCCGGUUGUAAACCGGUUUCAGCAUGGGCGCAGCUUUGGGUGACGGUAACUGCAAAAGAAGCACCGGCUAACUACGUG
rnacentral:rRNA from 1 species